rnacentral:rRNA from 1 species
UACGUAGGGUGCGAGCGUUAAUCGGAAUACUGGGCGUAAAGCGUGCGCAGGCGGUUCGUUGUGUCGGCGGUGAAAGCCCCGGGCUUAACCUGGGAAUGGCCGUUGAAACUGGCGAACUGGAGUGUGGCAGAGGGGGGUGGAAUUCCGCGUGUAGCAGUGAAAUGCGUAGAGAUGCGGAGGAACACCGAUGGCGAAGGCAGCCCCCUGGGCUAACACUGACGCCUCAGGCACGAAAGCGUGGGGAGCAAACAGG